AUGCAAGUCGAACGGACACCAUCCAGUAGCAAUACUGGUGAAGUGUUAGUGGUGAACGGGUGAGUAACACGUGAGGAACCUGCCCCGAACUCUGGGAUAACAGGCGGAAACGCCUGCUAAUACCGGAUAGCACCAGUGGAUCGCAUGGUCUGCUGAUGAAAGUUUUUCGGUUCGGGAUGGUCUCGCGGCCUAUCAGCUAGUUGGUGGGGUAACGGCCUACCAAGGCGUCGACGGGUAGCUGGUCUGAGAGGAUGAUCAGCCACACUGGGACUGAGACACGGCCCAGACUCCUACGGGAGGCAGCAGUAGGGAAUCUUGCGCAAUGGGCGAAAGCCUGACGCAGCAACUCCGCGUGCGGGAAGAAGGCCUUCGGGUUGUAAACCGCUUUUGGCAGGAACGAAAAUGACGGUACCUGCAGAAUAAGAUGCGGCCAACUACGUGCCAGCAGCCGCGGUGACACGUAGGCAUCAAGCGUUGUCCGGAUUUAUUGGGCGUAAAGAGCUCGUAGGCGGCUCAGUUAGUCGGGUGUGAAAACUCAGGGCUUAACCCUGAGACGCCACUCGAUACUGCUGGGCUAGAAUUCGGUGGGGUAGUGGGGAAUUCCUGGUGUAGCGGUGAAAUGCGCAGAUAUCAGGAGGAACACCGGUGGCGAAGGCGUCACUCUGUGCCGACAUUGACGCUGAGGAGCGAAAGCG
rnacentral:rRNA from 1 species